AGAUUAAGCCAUGCAUGUCUAAGUAUAAACAUUUGUACUGUGAAACUGCGGACGGCUCAUUAAAUCAGUUAUAGUUUAUUUGAUAGUAACUACUACUUGGAUAACCGUGGUAAUUCUAGAGCUAAUACGUGCUAAAACCCGACUUUACGGAAGGGUUGUAUUUAUUAGAUAAAACCAAUGCGGUCUCGGCCGGUUAUUUGGUGAUUCAUAAUAACUUUGCGAAUCGUAU
rnacentral:rRNA from 1 species